AUGCCUAUGCUAAGAUUAUCCACAGUGGCUAUCGCUGGGAGACUAGGUAUUGGGUGUACUUUCUUUCCUCUUUUUGCUGGACUCAAUUUUCUUUUCUUCUCUUUGUUGUCCUCCCUUACCUUCUCCUUAAGACGGGAGGUCAAUGAGCACAAUUUUUUUUUUCUUUUGGCAGAGUGUCUCUCUGUCACCCAGGCUGGAGUGCAGUGGCGCAAUCUCGGCUCACUGCAACCUCCACCUCCUGAGUUGAAGGGAUCUUCCUGCCUCAGCCUCCUGGGUAGCCGGGAUUACAGGCAUGCGCCACUACACCUGGAAAAACCAAACACGUCUCAUAUAGCGAGGGAGGCAUUACUGGCGUCAUCUGGUUUGAAGGCCAAACUCCUCCCCAGUGGGACAGGUUUGUGGCUAUAUACAGUGAAUCCCCUCUGUGCAACAGGAAAGGAAAUACUCUUGUUUCUGAAAUUGGCAAAGCUUGUUUCCUGCAUCAUCACCUUUGCCUAUGUCUUUUUCUUUUCUUGGUGGAUAACCCACUUGUUGCUUUUCUUUAGACAUUUCUUAUUUUUGGACCUAUUGAUUCUGACUGUACUCGCCCUUCCCCUCCUCAGGCUAUUUUCCCUGUUCAGUGUUAAUAUUCUAUACAGUAGCUCUUCUAAUAUCCUUGAGUGUACCUUUAUGCAUCUUAUUUCUACUGUUGGUACUAAAGAUUCUUAUAAUAAUGUGUGUUGUUGA
rnacentral:lncRNA from 1 species